rnacentral:rRNA from 1 species
UGGCGGACGGGUGAGUAACGCGUGGAAAACCUGCCGUAUACUGGGGGAUAACACUUAGAAAUAGGUGCUAAUACCGCAUAAGCGCACAGCUUCGCAUGAAGCGGUGUGAAAAACUCUGGUGGUAUACGAUGGUUCCGCGUCUGAUUAGCUAGUUGGUGGGGUAAUGGCCUACCAAGGCAACGAUCAGUAGCCGGCCUGAGAGGGUGAACGGCCACAUUGGGACCGAGACACGGCCCAAACUCCUACGGAAGGCAGCAG